UAUCCGCCAGAGAACUACAAGUGAAAAACUUGAAACUCAAAGGACUUGACGGUGUCCCAUAUCAACCUAGAGGAGCCUGUCCUAUAAUCGAUACCCCUCGCUCUACCUUACCUUGACUAGCAAAACUCAGCCUAUAUACCGCCGUCGACAGCCUACCCUAUGAAGGUCUAACAGUAGACACAAUAGCCACACCGCUAGUACGUCAGGUCAAGGUGUAGCAAAUGUUAAGGAAGUGAUUGGCUACAUUUUUUAAUUUUUAAAAAACACGGAAUGCACCAUGAAACCGCUCAUGAAGGUGAAUUUAGUAGUAAAGCAGAUAAGAGUAUCUACUUUAACAAUGCUCUGGGACGCGUACACACCGCCC
rnacentral:rRNA from 1 species